rnacentral:rRNA from 1 species
UGAUCAUGGCUCAGGAUGAACGCUGGCGGCAUGCUUAACGCAUGCAAGUCGAACGGGAAGUGGUGUUUCCAGUGGCGAACGGGUGAGUAACGCGUAAGAACCUGCCCUUGGGAGGGGAACAACAACUGGAAACGGUUGCUAAUACCCCGUAGGCUGAGGAGCAAAAGGAGAAAUCCGCCCAAGGAGGGGCUCGCGUCUGAUUAGCUAGUUGGUGAGGCAAUAGCUUACCAAGGCGAUGAUCAGUAG